AACGAACGCUGGCGGCAUGCCUAACACAUGCAAGUCGAACGAGACCUUCGGGUCUAGUGGCGCACGGGUGCGUAACGCGUGGGAAUCUGCCCUUGGGUGCGGAAUAACUUUCCGAAAGGAAUGCUAAUACCGCAUAAUGUCGUAAGACCAAAGAUUUAUCGCCCAAGGAUGAGCCCGCGUAAGAUUAGCUAGUUGGUGGGGUAAAAGCCUACCAAGGCGACGAUCUUUAGCUGGUCUGAGAGGAUGAUCAGCCACACUGGGACUGAGACACGGCCCAGACUCCUACGGGAGGCAGCAGUGGGGGAAUAUUGGACAAUGGGCGAAAGCCUGAUCCAGCAAUGCCGCGUGAGUGAUGAAGGCCCUAGGGUUGUAAAGCUCUUUUACCCGGGAUGAUAAUGACAGUACCGGGAGAAUAAGCUCCGGCUAAC
rnacentral:rRNA from 1 species